UCAAAUAAACUAUUUUAUUUUUGUUUCGGAAUAAGUAAUAUUUUGAAUCUCUUUUAUUACUACUGCCCAGAUAUAUAUUGUAAUCUGUUAUUACUGCCCAGAUAUAUAUUGUAAUCUGUUACACUUAUUCUAAAUUUUUGUUUUUACAUAAUUUUGUUUGUAUUUAUUUUACUAAAUAAUUACUAAUACAUAAAGAAGUACGUGCAGAAUUUAAUUUCACGACUAAAGAGGACUCCAAAGAAGAAUAUAAUAAAGUUCUGGUGGAUCAAAGAUCGAGGAAUGAUUUGGGUUUAACUGGUUUGCAUUUUAUGAACAAAGUAUGUAAUAUGAUUUAAACUGAUGAUUUAUAGUUACACCUAUUGAAAUUCUGUAUCUCAAUGAUAUCCUGGCUUAUCGAUACGAUAUCCUGUAAAUCC